CAGUACACUCACCACAGCCGCUGGCCCGGAUGCUAAGCCCCUCAUUGCCGGGGCGGCAGAGCGGGCCGGCUGCUCCCAGUACGCUGCGUGCCAAAACCACGCCCACCCGGAACUCCAGCUGGCCCGCAAGCGCCGCGCGCAGCCCGGGUUCCCGCUCCCGCUUCUCCCACCACACUUCCCUGCAAGCUGAGAGAAGCGGCUCUGGCCUUGGGCAGCCCAGAAAGGGGCUCCCUCAGUGCAGCGGUGGGCUGAAGGGCUCCUCAAGUGCCGCCAAAGUGGGAGCCCAGGCAGAGGAGGCGCCCAGAGCGAGCGAGGGCUGUGAGGACUGCCAGCACGCUGUCACCUCUCAGAACUAUUUACUCAGAAUGAGUGAAGAGACAGUCUUGCUCUGUUGCCCAGGCCGGAGUGGAGUGGCACAGUCAUAAUUCCCUGUACCCUUGAAAUCCUGAGCUCAAGCCAUCUCCAUACCUUAGCCUCCCAAGUGGCUACUACAGGACUGACUGAUAGUAUUUUCCUUUGGAAGAUCCUUUUAUAUUCUGUCUCUAUGAAAGAAGUGUUUUCAAUGAAAUAAGAUAUUUAUUCCAAAUCAAUCCUGCACCAGAAGCUCCAUUUCUGCAUUCGCUUCCAGAAAACACAGCAGCCGUAUGUGAAUUUGGGAGUGGUCCCACGAACCGGUUAUGAGACGAGGUUUUGGAGCUGGAUCACACCUGACACAACUGGCAUUGAAAACCUUAUUACCAAGAGCCUCUGGCACAAGGCUGCUAUGAAGAAAUACCCAAGACUGGGUACUUUCUCAACUUUCAAAUUGAGCUGUUCAGAAUGUGUGAAACAAUUUUAAGAUGAAGUCAAAGAUACUUGAAGCAGAAGCUGUAUCUGAGGAAGCUGUAUAUAAACCCAAUUUAAAGCAAGAUGAGAACUCAGCACAGGCACUGCAGCCACGGAGGUUUCCAGAUAGAAAAAUUGACACCCCUGAGAUCCCAUAACAUUUUGGGGACUCAUCUGGGAUCUGCGGAAGGAGCUUGACUCUUUUCAUUGGCAAUAAAUGGCGCCCCAACAUGGGGACUCAGAGAAGACUCAGGAGCCCCAAGCAGUUGUCCGAAAUCAGAGCUAAGGUACCAGCCAGGGUUAAUUGAAGACUCACCAAGUUCAAGCUUCUCCUUUGGUGGAACUGCUGAGAUUGAAGAACACUUGAAAAUUAUCAAGAAUGUACUGCGGAGUAUUGAAAUUGCAAGUUAUCAUCAAAGGAAGCUUACUCUUAUUUGUGGAAAACAAACACAGAAAAAAGAAGAAGGAAGGAAGGAAGGAAUCAUACCUUCCCUGUUUCAAAUAACAAGCAUCAAGCAUCGUGAUAAUGUGGACACUAAGGAGCAACAAUUUCUCUAAAGAUAAGAAUAAAGAUAGACUUUUAGACUACGAGAUGGGCCUGAAAAAAUAUCUGAUCAAGCUACUCAGUUUUACAGAUGAAGAAGGUGAAGCCUGGGAAAACCUAAAGAACCUAUAUAAGGUUCUCAGAUAGACACCAUGUUAUCUGCUUGAAUGAAGAAAAUUUGGUAACAUGUUUGCUGAUCUUAAUCUACUAUACAUUUUUUUAGCUUGUCAACUUGAACAAGUUUCUCAAUUAUUUCCUCAUCUAUUUUUUCUGAUAAACUUAACCAAAUCUUGUAAAAUGAAUGUUUUGAAAACGUAUAUCUUAAAGGAGCAUUUUCUAAUUUAAUAUUGAUGUUUUAUUAUUUAUUGAAUCAAGGAAGUUAUGCAUAUUUUGCAUAAAUAUGUGCUACCUUAUGUAUGAUAAUAUUUUUCUCCACAGUCACAUAUUAAUCUGUCCUGACAUUUUUCUAUAAUAAACAUCAUUAUCUGAGACAGAAAUGACAGGAAAAAUUUAUCCAUUUUAAUGAUAUCUAAUUAAAAUUUGUGUCUAACCUUAAUUGAAAUAUAUAUAUAUAUUUCAGUUAGUAAAAAAGGAAAGUCAAUUGAUGAUGCAUUAAGUGUCAGCAUUAUUACAUAGAGAUUGGAAGACAUUAGGUACAAAUGUGAAUCUGCAAGAGUACCAUUUGUAUAUUGCUAAUUACUUGAUACUGUGUCUUUUUAAGAAAGCUGUUACUCUUUAUUCACUCUAGAGCAUUUCAGACAAUUAAUUAGGCAUUCAUUAAUAGAUGAUUAAACAUUUUGUCUCUACAUUGCUUGAAAGGAGUUGUAAAUUACAUCUUGCCCAUGUUGCUAAUUUGCUGUCCAGCAAACAGACUUGCCUGUGGAAAUUUUGUAAAUCAAGCUUAUGAUAUAUUGGCCAUAGAUUGUUUGUCUUCCAAUUCCUCUUAGCUGUUGAUAAUGCAAAUCAAGCCACAUGAAUGAUAACCUGAUAGAAGACACUGCUUUGAAAAGCUAUACUCACAUUAAUACAAACUGUUCAGAAUUGUUAUGUGGAACAUUUCUCUCUAUAAUUGAGAAGAUAAACAUGGCAAAUAAUAUGCUGCUUCAUCAAGUUUUGCAUGUGAAUCAUUCCCAAAGUGAACUUUGAAAAGAGCUCCAUAAAUUCCAUCAGAAAACAAUGAAAUAUAAAACAUCACAGUCCUUUACCAUAGCUAAGCCAGCAAAUAAAUAUCAGGUAUAAAAACUCAUAUUGAUAAAAACCAAACUUUACUUAACGUUACAGAAGUCCAAAUGAUUUUAUCAAGAUAAUAUGUGAUUUAAUAUGUGAAUCUAUAAUAAAGAAUUCUGAGGCUGAGUGUGGUGGCUCAUGUCUGUAAUCCCAGCUCUUUGGGAGACCAAGGCGGGUGGAUCGCCUGACAUUAGGAGUUCGAGACCAACCUGGCCAACAUGGCCAGACCCCAUCUCUACUAAGAAUACAAAAAUUAGCCAGGUUUGGUGGCUCAUGCCUGUAAUCCCAGUUACUCAGGAGGCUGAAGCAUGAGAACUGCUGGAACCUGGAGGCUGCAGUAAGCUGAGAUCGUGCCAUUGCACUCCAGCCUGGGUGACAGAGCAAGACUCAGUCUCAGAAAAAAUAAAUAAAUAAAAAUAAAAAAUAAAAAAAUAAAAUAAAAUUAUGGUCACACAAGUUUCUAGAAAACCAACUUAUUUCUGAGAUAGCCCAGAGGUGACAUACACUGACUAACCCACUGAGAGUAUGUUUUAUUCUUUGCUGAACUACUAGAACCUAGACUAGAGCCUCACAUGCAAAAAGCAUUCAGUAAAAAUUGUGUUUACAGAAAAUUACUAUAGGACAAUAAUUAUGUCUUAUAAGUGGGUUUGUUUAAAGGGUUUAUCAUUUAUUCUAAGUCACACAUUUUACUCAGAAAUACUAGCUUUGUCCUGGAAAGUUCAAUUAAAUAGAGAAAAGGAACAAGAACAUACAUUCAAGCCAAAAUAAGCAAAGCUUUGCCUCAAGAAGGGUUGAUGGAAAAAACAGAAAACAGAAAGCACUACAGUUUAAUGAGUUACAGACUGCUCAGCAGAAAAGACAACAUAGACAUAUAAUACAGGUCUUUCUGCUAAUAUAUUCCUUUCUUUGCUUAAAACUAAGUACAGAUAUUACUUUGGAACCCUUUGAAUGUGGGAAAUUAGUUUCCUCCUCAGCAUUGUCCUCUACUACUUUUCGGAGUAUAAUGUGUAUGACAUUCUCUCAGUAAAAUUUUGAUACACUUGAUAGUUGAAGGUUAAAGAAGAGUAGAAAUCAUCUUAACACCUUACUAAUGGGAAAUUUUUUCAUAGGAAUACACAUAAUUUCCAGAAAGUUACCUUUUUAUAGAGGGCAUCAUGCAUAAUAACACCUUUUGGCUCAAAAUAGAAAUUAUUUUUAAGCUUAUACUUUUGCCAUACGUUAGAGCAACUACUGAUUUAGAUUGUUCUGUUUUACUGUUCUAGAAUCAUUCCACACUUGCCUCUUGGCAUCCAUAAUCAGAAAAGUAAAUCAAGAAAUAAACUAUAAACUGAUCAAUGUUUUAUUAUUUUCCUUAUAGCCUUUUAUUUUACCAUGAGGAGUUUCUGUAUGUAAGGCACUUUAGAAUAUGAAUGAUUUUCAUGGCAUACACAUAAGGGACUAUUAAAAACAACUGACAUGUUUUUGGUAAAGUAUUUGACUGUUUAUUCUUCAUGUAACUGAAAAUAUUCAGCAUUGAAAGAGUUUGCAUUUCAUGAUGGCUACAAAGUUGAAAUUUACAUUCUGGUUUCUUAAAGGCAGGAACUACAUUCUGCAAAGGGCAAAUUUCAAAAGACAAAACUUAAUCCUUAUACUAGCAAAAGUUUGAUUAGAUAAGUUCUACAUACUUAGCUGCUUAUAUAAAUACAGGUGGCUGAGGCUGAAAAUGAAUGCCCCAGGAAGAAGUAAAUCAAUUUUACAAAAAUUAUCAAAUGGCAUAAUGAUGGGCACACAAUGCCCUCCACCCACAGCUGUUCUUGCAUUUCUAACAUAAAAGGCAGCACAAGACAGAAGGGAAACACUGACAAAUAGAUUGGUUCUGCCAUUUCCUUAGCAUUAUGUGCCCUGUCACUUUUUGAAUUUCUUAGAUAAGAUGCAAUUUCUCUUUAGUUUUUAAUGCCCUUUUAGAUAUUUUUUGUUACAGGAUUCGUUACCAUGAAUCCAAGGGACUUUAUUUUGGCACUUUGACAGAAAGGAUUGGACUGCUUAAACAAGAACUAAUAAAUAGCUUCCAUUUCCUACAUGAAAAAAGUAAUACAUGUUUAUGCUGUUUCCUGGAUUGCACAUGUAACUGGCAGCAAGAAACACCCUCGGAAUAGUAAUCAUAAAAUAUCCUUGUUUAUUCCAAAGCAUAACUAUAGAAAUGUGUGACAAUCUGAAUUUCUUUUGUAUGCCAAAAUAUGCUGAGAAAGUACUAAUGAAUGCUGUGCCAUUCUAAUUUUGUAUUAAUGAAAUAAUUUAUUAUUUUUUCAGUUUUAAUUAAAAUUGGCUUUGCAUCAAACUGUGCUUAUCACAUUGAUCACAUGAUAAAAAGGGAAUUUUGUCAUUUAUCAAUAAAAAUGAUUAUGUGUAUUAUCUAACCAUUAAUGACACAUUUUAGAGUGUGAAGAUGUUGGCACACAUUUUCAUUAUUUUUUUGUUUCCUGAAAAAAUAAUUUAUUAUUGCCAUGUUUAUGGUUCCAUCCUGUGCAAUUAAUUAUUACAGAACAAAGCAAGACUAACAAAAGUUUUGAUAGUAAUACAAGCAGUCAGAUUGAAAUUUCAGUCUUUUGGCUAUUGACAUAAGUUUCAUAUCAGUAAUAAAUUACUUGAGGUGUCAA
rnacentral:lncRNA from 1 species